CUAUAUAUGUAUAAUGGCGUUAUGAUGGUUUAUACGUUGGCUUGAUUGAUAUAUGUGCUAGUCGUAUGUGGUGUCUAGUACUCUCUAGAGUUAGGGGAUGAUAUUAAUUAUUAUAUAUAUUUUCUUAGACCCGUCGACUGCUCGUGCUUCGGAGUCGGAUCAGGUUUAGUUGCUUGUCAAGUUUUCACGUGGAUUUGCAAGCAGGUUAUGAUCUGAGAGAGUCUGGUGAUCUCCGCAUUUACUUUUCUUCGGAGGUUCCAUUUAUUUUUGAUAAACUGUAAAACUGUUUUAUUCUUAGACCGCAGUAGUAACUAGACGUCUUUAUUAUUACUGUAUAUUUUGUCGGAUUGGUUCGACUGGUUAUAUUGCUUUGGCAUGAUUAUAAUACUUACAUUGAUUUAUGAUAAAUCUAUAUUAGUCUCGGAA